rnacentral:siRNA from 1 species
GUCUUUUAGGUCAACAUUUUUAGG